rnacentral:rRNA from 1 species
AACGAACGCUGGCGGCGCGCCUAACACAUGCAAGUCGAACGAGAAUCCGGGGCAACCCGGUAGUAAAGUGGCAAACGGGUGAGGAAUACAUGGGUAACCUACCCUUGAGAAGGGAAUAACCCGCCGAAAGGGUGAGCUAAUACCCUAUACGCUAUCUUUUUUUCGAAAAGGAUAGGAAAGCCGGGUCGAGGACCUGGUACUCAAGGAGGGGCUCAUGUCCUAUCAGCUUGUUGGUGGGGUAACGGCCUACCAAGGCUACGACGGGUAGCUGGUCUGAGAGGAUGAUCAGCCACACUGGCACUGAGAUACGGGGCCAGACUCCUACGGGAGGCAGCAGUGAGGAAUAUUGCGCAAUGGGGCGAAAGCCUGACGCAGCGACGCCGCGUGGGGGAUGAAGGUUUUCGGAUUGUAAACCCCUUUCAUGAGGAAAGAUAAAGUGGGUAACCACGUUAGACGGUACCUCAAGAAGAAGCCACGGCUAAC